CGGACGGGUGAGUAAUGUAUGGGGAUCUGCCUGAUGGCGGGGGAUAACUACUGGAAACGGUAGCUAAUACCGCAUAAUGUCUACGGACCAAAGCGGGGGACCUCCGGGCCUCGCGCCAUCAGAUGAACCCAUAUGGGAUUAGCUAGUAGGUAAGGUAACGGCUUACCUAGGCGACGAUCCCUAGCUGGUCUGAGAGGAUGAUCAGCCACACUGGAACUGAGACACGGUCCAG
rnacentral:rRNA from 1 species